AGAGUUUGAUCCUGGCUCAGGACGAACGCUGGCGGCGUGCUUAACACAUGCAAGUCGAACGUGAUUUUUGUGGAAAUUCUUUCGGGAAUGGAAAUGAAAUGAAAGUGGCGAACGGGUGAGUAACACGUGAGCAACCUACCUUACACAGGGGGAUAGCCGUUGGAAACGACGAUUAAUACCGCAUGAGACCACAGAAUCGCAUGAUAUAGGGGUCAAAGAUUUAUCGGUGUAAGAAGGGCUCGCGUCUGAUUAGCUAGUUGGAAGGGUAAAGGCCUACCAAGGCGACGAUCAGUAGCCGGUCUGAGAGGAUGAACGGCCACAUUGGAACUGAGACACGGUCCAAACUCCUACGGGAGGCAGCAGUGGGGAAUAUUGCACAAUGGGGGGAACCCUGAUGCAGCGACGCCGCGUGAGCGAAGAAGGUUUUCGAAUCGUAAAGCUCUGUCCUAUGAGAAGAUAAUGACGGUAUCAUAGGAGGAAGCCCCGGCUAAAUACGUGCCAGCAGCCGCGGUAAUACGUAUGGGGCGAGCGUUGUCCGGAAUUAUUGGGCGUAAAGGGUACGUAGGCGGUUUUUUAAGUCAGGUGUGAAAGCGUGAGGCUUAACCUCAUUAAGCACUUGAAACUGGAAGACUUGAGUGAAGGAGAGGAAAGUGGAAUUCCUAGUGUAGCGGUGAAAUGCGUAGAUAUUAGGAGGAAUACCGGUGGCGAAGGCGACUUUCUGGACUUUUACUGACGCUCAGGUACGAAAGCGUGGGGAGCAAACAGGAUUAGAUACCCUGGUAGUCCACGCCGUAAACGAUGAGUACUAGGUGUCGGGGGUUACCCCCCUCGGUGCCGCAGCUAACG
rnacentral:rRNA from 1 species